UACGGAGGGUGCAAGCGUUGUCCGGAAUCACUGGGCGUAAAGGGCGCGUAGGCGGCCUGGUAAGUAGGGGGUGAAAUCCUGCGGCUUAACCGCAGGGCUGCCUUCUAAACUGUCAGGCUUGAGCACGGUAGAGGCAGAUGGAAUUCCCAGUGUAGCGGUGAAAUGCGUAGAUAUUGGGAGGAACACCAGUGGCGAAGGCGGCUCACUGGACCGGAACUGACGCUGAGGCGCGAAAGCGUGGGGAGCAAACAGG
rnacentral:rRNA from 1 species